GUCUGAAUUAAGUGUUUUCGGUGUCCAGUGUAGAGUUAAGGUAUUGAAAGGUGCCUUUUUGAAGAAGUUACAUCACAGUGGUCUUCCGGAGCCUGAAAUUAGAGUAUAAAAUGUCUUUCAAAUCACGCAGUGCUUAAAAGAAAAUUUUACCAAAGUUAGAAGAAUUGCUUGUUGAAACUGAGCAAGCAGUGCCAAAUGGUCCUGGAUAACAAGCAGGACGACGACUCAGACACCAACAUGAACUCCUUAGUCAGCACAGAGUCCAUGGACACCGGAGAAGAGGACAUGUCACAAGUAGAUGGAUGUGGGUUAAGUGGUGCAUCUGACGAUGACGAAGAAUGUGCAUCCUCACCAGCAGGCUCCGCAUAUGAAGAUGCUGGAGAUGUCAUCAAGAGUGCUAUGAGCGAUGAAGUCACCAAGCAACUUGCAGCCGCUGGUCCCGUGGGGAUGGCUGCUGCAGCCGCUAUAGCAUCGUCAAAGAAACGCAAGCGACCACAUUCGUUUGAAACCAACCCCUCAGUAAGGAAACGACAUCAAAACCGUCUACUACGAAAACUUAGACAAACAAUAGAAGAAUUUGCAACUCGCGUUGGUCAACAAGCUGUGGUACUGGUAGCGACCCCCGGCAAACCCAACACAUCGUAUCGAGUUUUCGGUGCGAAGCCGCUAGAAGAUGUGGUGCGAAAUUUACGCUGCAUGAUCAUGGAGGAGUUGGAGAAUGCGCUUGCACAGCAGUUCGGGCUGGGCUCGGGCCCGCAGGCGCCGCCGCCGCCACAAGAUGACCCUUCGCUCUUCGAGCUGCCGCCUCUCAUCAUCGACGGCAUCCCCACGCCCGUCGAGAAAAUGACGCAGGCGCAGCUCCGCGCCUUCAUUCCGCUCAUGCUUAAGUACUCUAUGGUGCGCGGAAAGCCUGGCUGGGGUCGUGAAUCGACGCGUCCGCCUUGGUGGCCCAAGGACCUGCCCUGGGCCAACGUACGAAUGGAUGCACGAUCGGAGGACGAGAAACAAAAGAUGUCGUGGACACACGCGCUCCGUCAGAUAGUGAUAAACUGCUACAAGUAUCAUGGGCGAGAAGAUCUUUUACCUGCCUUCACUGAAGAUGAUGAUGAUAAGCAUACAAGAGCGUUGUCGCCAUCCGUACGUAUAUUAUACGAACUCACACAAACCGAAUUCUCAACAAUUACAAAUUCGUCACAAUGUAUGCCUAGUGGUAGUUGCAACUCGAGUGGUUCGGGCAAGCACAGUUCACAGCAAGCAGUGCUUACUUCUCAGCAAGUCUGCAUUGAUCAAAUGACACUCGCCGAUGUCGAUAUGUCUCAGUACGCGCCCGCAGUUCUUCAAACAAUAACAAACCCAGAUGGUUCAGUCUCGUUGAUACAAGUGGACCCUAAUAGUCCAAUCAUCACAUUGCCUGAUGGAACUACUGCGCAAGUUAUUCAAAGUACAGAUGGUGGUACCGUAGUAAGCGGAGUGAAUGUUAGUGGUUUGGACGGUGAAGGCGUCUCUGUAGACCUCAAUGAAGCUGGACUGAAUUCUGACACGCAGAUUAUCCUCACCACUGAUGAUGGACAUGGUUACCCGGUAUCAGUGUCGGGAGUUAUAACAGUGCCAGUGUCGGCCUCGGUCUAUCAAUCAAUGGUUGCUUCAAUGCAACAGCAAGAUGGCGUCUGCGUCGCACCGCUUGUUCAGGUCACAAACAACACACGCAAACAUUCACGCACGCAUACGCGUAUACGCACGCUUACACCCGACGAACACACGUACACGCCCGCUGUCGAUUUGCAUACCUAUAUUAAAGUAGAAGUAGUUUAAAUAUGUACAUCUCUUCGGAUGAUUUAAAAAUGCAUUUUGACAUUUUGGUUAAUGGUCUCAACAGUUAAAAAAUCUAAAAUUUAAAGAUUUUUUCUUCUAAUUACAUUGGAUAUAUGAACCGUUUAAAUGUAUGAGGGUAGUAUUAACUUGCUAAAAUUUUAACCAUUUCAACAUAUUGUGUGUUAUGCAUCUUGUAUUGAUUUUAUUUUAUUAUUAUAUGGGUAAAGUUUUAAGCUUUUCCUACGUCGGAACUAUAUUUGAUAAAAUCUACAAGUCGUAGCAAUUACGACCGAUAUUAUGAAUAUAGAACCCAGGCGUGAUUCCUAAACCCAGUUGACGGUAGUGCUAUGCCAAUUCAUACAGAUGCCAAAAACGUGCUUUUAGUGGAGCUUGUUAUUUAGUUUAUAAAUUAGUGAGUGAACUUAAAUGUUGGUUAAACAGUAUUUUAUAAUUACCAAAAAGUUACCGAUUUUUUUCUAGUCGAAUAGAUUUUACAGAUUUUAUUUUCAAUUGUGCCAUUACAAUAGAUUAGCCCGAGUUGAAAAUCAAUAUAUCAUAGAGAAAAUAGUUUGAUUUAAUAAUAAAAUCUACGAUUCGUUGCGAAAACGAUUGGUAUUUUGAUGUCCAAUACGAGUUGUUAGUGUUGUCAAAAAUAUUCUGUUUCUUAAAAAACAACAGAUAAUUGUGCUAAUUCUGAACUAAUUAACAUAAUAAUAUCAAUUUUGUCAGAUUAAUAUGUCAAAUUUUGAUAUAGUUCAGACUUGGCUAUAUGUUUUGACUUGCAUUAAUAUCAAACUAUAUUUUUAAAUAUUUUGGAUUCAUACUGAGUUUGUGUGCUCUUGAUGUUUUAGCUGUUCAUAGUAUGCUUGUUUAUGAGUCAAACCAGCUUAAAACGCUUUACUGCUAAAUAUUUUGCUAAGCAAAACAUAUAUUCAUAUGUAUAUAUAUUUAACCAACUAUCUAUUAAAAUCUCAAAAUGGGUACUUUUAUUUAUCAUAAGCGUAACAAAAAAUCUGCAGCACGGUCGGUCUGCACGGUCUUGUAUUGAACAUGUGUAUAUGUCGCAGCUAACUAGCUUAAUAAGCCGUUAAAUUAACAGCCUGGCCUUUUAGCUAAACAUCGCCGUUUAACUAGCGGCAUGAAAGAUUUUAAGCCAGCUAGGCAAAUGACAUGGAUCGAUGACGUUUCGCUAAUUGUCUAGCCUUUUGCUUGUUAAUUUAAAUUUAGUUCCACUUUAUGCCACUCUCAAAGAUAAUUUGAAUUUAGCUAUGAUGGACUCAAAAAUUGAAUUGUUAACGAAAUAUUUUUUGUAAGGUGUUUCAUUCUUUUUUUUCUUCCACAUGGGCACUAUCGUACGAAUGGCCAAAGCAUUAGCCAGCCAGUUUAUUAAAUGUUAUUACAAAUGCUACGGCUGAACAUAUUUCAGGCCACUAGUCAAACGGCACAGUUACAAGGCUAGGCUGUUAAUUUAACGGCUUAUUAAGCUAGUUGGCUGCGACAUAUUUAUAAAUUAUUUAUAUAUAUGGGCCCUUGAACCUUUUUGUCGGUUUGAAAGCGUCUUAAACUGGUUUUACUGUAUUAUAUGUGGCGAUCUCAUUGCGUAAUUACUUAUUUGCCUGCUCAUAUUAAUAUUUUUUUAUUAAUUAGUAGGAUAUUUUCGAAAUUCUGUCAAUUGUACCAGUGCAUUUUAAAUUGUUUUUAAGUUUUAAUUAUGUUAAGAUUAAUUUGCAUGUUUAAGCUGUUUUUAGUUUAGUUUAAUUUUCCAAAUUUUAUUGAAUAUUAUUUAUUGCUUGGCAUAAUUCAAUAUUUUGUGCGUUAAGUGUAAGGUAAGAAAAGUUAUUAUUGGAAUUGCCAUUUUUGUGUUACUGUUUGUUUUGCCAGGUAGUGGUUUGUGACGUUUGAAUGAAUAAAAUAUUUUAGUACAAUUUUAAAUAGAUUUAUUAUUUUGUAUAAAUUAGAACUCUCGUCUUACGCAAUGUGAAAAAAAGUUAUUUAGCGUUAAUGCAGAAAGAAUAGAUUUAUUUUUUUAAACGUCUGUUUGUUAAAUUGUUAAGAUUGAGAGUUUAUAAUUUAUGUUGAGUUUUUAAUGAGUACUCGUAUAAAAAGAGUACAGCUUGUCUUUUGAAAUACGAAAAAGACGCUUAGACCUUAGAAUACAGACUCUACGUGAAAUAUAUGGUUUGACAAGUACCAAGGUAUUUGCGAUUAGAUACAGAAAAGAGAAAAAAUGCAUGUUACAAUUUUCUUUACGAGUGCUCUUAUUAUUUUGUGUUAAUAAACGCUGUGAUUCUU